GGCCAAUAGAAUCCAAACGCGUAUCGACCUCUCUUACGCAUCAGAGAGACCUCACCGACAAAAGAUACACUCCGCCAUUCUACUCCAUUAGAAGACACAGAGAGAGCUAUGCGUUUUUAGAGAGAGAGAGAGUGAGAGAGAAGGGGCGGUUAGAGAUGGUUUGUUCAGGUAGAAUUCUGGCGGUUUCUUGCCCUAUAUCGACUUUGAUUCCCCACAAUUCAGUGUUCCAAAACUCAAGAUUCCUCCUUCAAGUGCUCAAAUCCACCCACAAAUGGCGACCCAUGGCCUCCGAACCUGAGGCUUCUUCAUUUGCUCCUUCAAUUGAUUCUGAUUCUACCGAUAUAAACGCCCCUGGGUUUUGUAUUAUUGAAGGACCUGAAACAGUGAGGGAUUUUGCCAAAAUGGAACUGCAAGAAAUUCUAGAUAAUGUACGAAGCCGGAGAAACAAAAUAUUUUUGCAUAUGGAGGAGGUUCGCCGGCUGCGGAUACAGCAGAGGAUAAAAAGUGCUGAACUUGGAAUUCUAAAGGAAGAACAAGAAAAUGAACUUCCAGAUUUUCCCUCAUUCAUUCCAUUCUUGCCUCCAUUGAGCUCAGCAAAUCUUAAGCUGUACUAUGCUAGCUGUUUCUCUCUUAUUGCCGGGAUUAUCCUUUUUGGUGGACUUCUAGCACCAAUUUUGGAGCUGAAAUUGGGACUAGGAGGCACGUCAUAUGAAGAUUUUAUUCGUAGUCUGCAUCUGCCAAUGCAGUUGAGUGAGGUUGAUCCUAUUGUCGCAUCAUUCUCUGGGGGAGCUGUUGGAGUGAUCUCGGCCUUGAUGGUCGUUGAAAUAAAUAAUGUAAAACAGCAAGAGGAUAAAAGAUGCAAGUAUUGUCUUGGAACCGGAAACAGAAACGCUUCUGUCGUUUCGAUGGAAAAGAAAUGGAAUUUUGUUCCUAGGUUGGAAUGGAUAUCUUGCUUGUGCUCGUUGUUCAAGCUCAGGAGCACUUGUCCUUAUUGAACCGGAGUCAACAGUUAAUGCUAGAGAUCAGCCCUUAUCACCACCUAAAACUGAACGAUGUUCAAACUGUUCCGGUGCUGGAAAGGUCAUGUGCCCUACGUGCCUCUGUACAGGGAUGGCAAUGGCAAGCGAGCACGAUCCACGGAUUGAUCCCUUUGAUUAGAAAAACAUAUCAUUUCCUACUUCUACUUGUACUAUUUGAGAUGUAUAGUUGUUUUGCAUUGGAUACAUAUGUGUACAUAUUUUUAGCAUAUUCUGUGUAUACAAAUUGUUUGACAAGCAAUACCCCUUUUUACAAAUGUAAAACACACAUUAUUAUUUGUCUUGAUCAAAGAAUUUUCAUUGUAAAAUUCCUCUUA